rnacentral:rRNA from 1 species
UUGUAGAAUGAACCGGCGAGGUACGAUUUGCUGCAAGGUUAAGCAGUAAAUGUGGAGCCGUAGCGACAGCAAGUCUGAAUAGGGCGUUUAGUAUUUGGUCGUAGACCCGAAACCAGGUGUUCUACCCUUGGUCAGGUUGAAGUUCAGGUAACACUGAAUGGAGGACCGAACCGACUUACGUUGAAAAGUGAGCGGUUGAACUGAGGGUAGCGGAGAAAUUCCAAUCGAACCUGGAGAUAGCUGGUUCUCUCCUAAAUAGCUUUAGGGCUAGCC